CCUACGGGUGACAGCAGUGGGGAAUAUUGGGCAAUGGGCGCAAGCCUGACCCAGCAAUGCCGCGUGAAGGAAGAAGGUUUUCGGGUUGUAAACUUCUUUGAACGGGGAAGAGCAGGAGAUGGUACCCUGCAUACAAGCUACGGCGAACUUCGUGCCAGCCGACGAGGUAAUGCGUAGGUGACAGGCGUUGUGCGGUUAUACUGGGUGUAAAGGGAGUGUAGCCGGGAAGGCAAGUCAGAUGUGAAAUAUGGAGGCUCAACCCCCACAUUGCAUUUGAAACUGUUUUUCUAGAGUACGGGAGAGGCAAGCGGAAUUCCUUGUGUAGCGGUGAAAUGCGUAGAUAUAAGGAGGAACACCAGUGGCGAAGGCGGCUUACUGGACUGUAACUGACGUUGAGGCACGAAAGCGUGGGGAGCAAACAGGAUUAGAUACCCUAGUAGUC
rnacentral:rRNA from 1 species